AUUGAACGCUGGCGGCAUGCCUUACACAUGCAAGUCGAACGGUAACAGGUCUUCGGAUGCUGACGAGUGGCGCACGGGUGAGUAAUACAUCGGAACGUGCCCGAUCGUGGGGGAUAACGAAGCGAAAGCUUUGCUAAUACCGCAUACGAUCUACGGAUGAAAGCAGGGGACCGCAAGGCCUUGCGCGAACGGAGCGGCCGAUGGCAGAUUAGGUAGUUGGUGGGAUAAAAGCUUACCAAGCCGACGAUCUGUAGCUGGUCUGAGAGGACGACCAGCCACACUGGGACUGAGACACGGCCCAGACUCCUACGGGAGGCAGCAGUGGGGAAUUUUGGACAAUGGGCGAAAGCCUGAUCCAGCCAUGCCGCGUGCAGGAUGAAGGCCUUCGGGUUGUAAACUGCUUUUGUACGGAACGAAAAGACUCUGGUUAAUACCUGGGGUCCAUGACGGUACCGUAAGAAUAAGCACCGGCGAACUACGU
rnacentral:rRNA from 1 species